GGCCUUAGUGUUGCCCGUUCCUCCCUGUCUGUGGUGAACGCGGUGUCAGAAAAGGCAGACAGUAAAAUCAUCUCCUGAUGUGGAGCAAAGCCAGGAACUCUCACUGACUCCUGACUCCUCAAUCUCGAGAGGAACACUU